GUUGGAUAGGCGGGUGAGUAGCGUCCACCUGUAACCCGUGUCGCUAACCGGGGCCGAAGAGUGCGGUUUGAGAAUACCAACGAUAAUAAGGCGAUGAAUGUUCAUCGGCGUUGACACUUGACACCUUAUGCAAUGCAAAAUUCGUGAACCGUGUGAGGUCGGGAACGAAGCAACACUAAAUGAAUUGCGUAUGUGCCACAAGUUAUGCCAAGAAGAGCCGGCGACACCACCGCCGAACUACCGGCGGUAUGCGAAACGCAUUCCAAC
rnacentral:SRP_RNA from 1 species